rnacentral:sRNA from 1 species
GGGAAGGCGGAGCUUGGACGAGCAGAGAGGCGGGGCUCAAAGUUCCUACCCGAGAGAGGGAAGAAGCAGGAGGUGCUCUGCUAAAACAAGUAUAAAAUGAAUGUCAGGAUGUUCUCCCUCAUGGUGGGCAUCUUCUCUGUCCUUAAUACCAGCCAGUUCUUCAUCUUUGACCUGAACCAGAAGACACACAUUUGCUGUGACGCCAAGUUCAGCAUCUACGUGGACUCAAAGUCGGAGCUAGUCACUUGGAUCCUGUUCCACAGGGCUAACAUCAGCACUGGCCUCUCCCUCACCACCAUCAUCAUCAGCUUCUUCCUCCUUUAUUGUAUCCACAAGAAUAUCUACAUGGGGCUUCUGAUCUAUGCCAUGUGGAUCAUCACUUACGAGCUCAUCAACUUCUCCAUAGUCCUGCUCCUCAACAGGAUCAUCAAAGAUCACUUCAAGACGCUGAGUUACUUGCACUGGAUCUUCCAAAUCUCACACAUGCUUCUGCACUUUUUCUGUCUGCCCUUCAUCGUCAAGCAUGCGUACAACCUUUACAAGGAAUCCCAGACCGUGAGCAGGAAACGCCGCCCUAGGCUCUCCUCCAACAUUGCAGUGAACUGAUGACUACCUGUCCGUCGGGGAAUGUUGUACCGGAAGUUAAACUGAACCAUGCCAGAUGCCAGGAAAGGUGGGAGGGAAUGGUGCUCCUCAACAAUGGAAUCCUCCCUACCCUGCCUGUCUUCUGUUGAUGCUGCUUGGUUUGUCAGGGCUUUUGAGUUUUAUGCACUAAGGAAUGAUUCUCGGGAGAGGGCAGGUUGUGCGGAUGAAUUAUUUUACAGAUGUGUUGUGUGACUUGUUUUAGCAGUUAAUGAUAUGUGGCCUUGUGCUUACCUAACCAUC